GAUGAAGAACGUAGCGAAAUGCGAUAAGUAAUGUGAAUUGCAGAAUUCAGUGAAUCAUCGAAUCAUUGAACGCACCUUGCGCCCUUUGGCCAUUCCGAAGGGCAUGCCUGUUUGAGUAUCAUGAACACCUCAACUCUUUAUGGUUUUCCAUGAUGAGCUUGGACUCUGGGGGUUUUGCUGGCUCACAGUCGGCUCCUCUAAAAUGAAUCAGCUUACCAGUGUUUGGUGGGUAUCAUGGGUGUGAUAACUAUCUACGCUUGUGGUUUUUCCACCAGGUAACCUUCAGCAGUGGAGGUUCGCUGGAGCUCAUAGAUGUCUCUCCUCAGUGAGGACAGCCCUUUGAAUGUUUGAUCUCAAAUCAGGUAGGACUACCCGCUGAACUUAAGCAUAUCAAUAAGCGGAGGA
rnacentral:misc_RNA from 1 species